rnacentral:pre_miRNA from 1 species
AAUUUGCUUCUGAAGCUUCAGUUGGUUGUAUUCAUUAUUUUCUUUAGCACUAUUGGUUGAUAAGUUCAUCCCUGAUGAAGUGCUAGAGAUGCUACUAAUAUUGACUCCUUCAAAAAAAAAGAUGGGGCAUUGA